rnacentral:lncRNA from 1 species
AAUUAGUCCGCAAUUAUCACUAACACAAGAUGGAUCUCCAAUAAUCUGUCAGUUAUUUGUCUUUAGGAACAGCCUUGGAAAACAUCAUCUGCGACCACUCACAGUGACAGGAGAUAAAACAUCUGUGGACCUAUGUGGCAGUAGUACAAAAGAAGGUUGUAAACAAGAGCCAACUGCAGGGAGUAAUGGGGGAGCACUGAGGGCAGCAAGGAAUCAACCAGUGCAUAAAGGACUGAGCACACACCUCCUCUCCACAUAAACUGAGAUGAUGCACCAGAAGAAAGCCUGAACUGAGGUUCUGCGUGCUGCACAUCCCUGCAGAGACUCUCAUCCAGCUGAAAUGAGUGCUAAACUACAUCUGAAACUGAGUCAGAUUGGGAGGCACUCUAUUUACCCUGGUGGCUGGCCCGUUGCUGUCUAGCCAAGCCUCUUACAAGGCUGUGGAAGCAGGGACUCUGGAGCCUGGAUUGCUUUGCAAUAACGCUGCAGCAUUUAGGCUUCUGCUGCUGUUAAGUCUACUUUUAUGAGUGGGCCAUAAAGCUUGAUGUGGUGAAGCAGGAUUGCACCCAGUGGCCAGGAGCAGUGCCCAUCAGCCUGGAAGAAACAGAAGCCGUGCCCACAAACACAGCUUGGGGUAAAAAGCAAGUCAGUCUGUUUAAAUAAAGCUCACUGUGACACAGAGAUGCUGCCCUGUGACUGACCACUCCUUUUGGUCAGGAGAGCUGAAUUACUUUAGCCCUUGGAAAAAAUGGUUUCAUUGAUUUC